AAAAGCAGUCCCUCCCCUAUGAAUCAUGAAACCCAGAAACCUUGACUAAUGAAGCAGCUCCUCUGGCUGGUGGCUCUUCCUGCAGUCACUGAGUAUGAGAAAAGGGCUUUCAAGCGCUUGGUGCAUGGGGCCGAAGAGCUAAGAGGGAUUUCUGAUGAAGAGUGAGUGAGUAGCACAUCUGUAGGAGCUGACAUCUGGCUCAAAACUGUCAAAAAAUAUAACAGGAGAGAGAGAGGGAUGGUACAAACCCUCCUGGACAGCUGCACGGGAGCACAGAGAUAAUGUGCCGAUGUCACGCCAAGUCUCUUUUGGAAGCCCCCGCCGAGAGAUGUGAAGGGAAUAAAAUUACAGCAAUCUUCAAUAAGGAGUGAAUGACUAAAAGAAAUCCUUCCAGGUAAAUCGUGUUAUCCGCGGCACACUUUCAAAUCUCCAAGCCAGACUACCGGCAGGUUAUAUCUGUUGAGGACAAAACAUCUAUGUUUUCUACAGUUGCAGUAGAUUGAAAGACCUGAGGACUUGGAAUCUGGGGCUGAUGAUAUCAUCACCAUCUUCUUCUUCUUCAUCAUCAAAGUAUUUACUAAACGUCUGCAUCUACAAACCAGGAUCAAUAGACACAGGCUGUGUCUCCACGAGGCCAUUGAUUCCAUCAUUUUCUGACCAUUUGGUUGUUUCAGUUGUCAUCACUAUCUCAAUCAAUGGAGCCCUGCCGAUUUCUGGCGACGUAAAAGACUGUUAUAACAGUUCCAUAGUCCAGUUCCUUAGGUCAUUAGAAUAAUCAGAUUGGAGCCAUAGAUAAUCAAAGAACAUUAAUGGUUGAAGAGAUCUUAGAGGUCUAAUUCUAAUGUUCUCAUUUUACAGAGGAGGAAACAGAGGCCCAGAAAGGGGAAGGGACUUGAUCAUUAUCAUCCAGAGAAUUAGUGGCAAAGACGGGACUAGAAACUAGGUUUCUUGAUGGUUAUAGUGAAGUGCUCUUCCUAUAAGCAAUCAGCAGAGAAGCGGCCUGACAUAUAGUAUAUUCAACCAAUUCUGUAGCAGGUCAUUGGAGAACUGAUAUUCUCAACUCUGGGUCUCAGGGGAUUGACCCAAAUGCCAGUCUCUAGGCCUUUUCAAAGUAUUUACUACUUCUGCAGGCCAAGGGAUUCUUCAAAAACUCACGUGGUUGCUAGGAAGGAAAGAGCAAAUGCUUUGAAUCAUAAAAGAUCCUGCAAAUAAAUUCCUGUUACAUAAUAA